GAUUUCUGGUACGGCGCAUUUGGCCCGCCUCGGUUACGGGGUUGUGUGCCGGUGUGCGCCUGCCAUCCUUCUGGCCCUCACUAUCACUUCCCUUCACUGGGCUUGUGGUAGCGAACCAGAUCAUUUACUUUGAAAAAAUUAGAGUGUUUAAAGCAGGCGUUUGCUAUGAAUACAUUAGCAUGGAAUAAUAACUUAGGACUUCGGUUCUAUUUUGUUGGUUUCUAGGACUGAAGUAAUGAUUGAUAGGGAUAGUUGGGGGUGCUAGUAUUCAGCGGCCAGAGGUGAAAUUCUCGGAUUCGCUGAAGACUAACUUAUGCGAAAGCAUU
rnacentral:rRNA from 1 species